CCUACGGGAGGCAGCAGUGGGGAAUAUUGCACAAUGGGGGGAACCCUGAUGCAGCGACGCCGCGUGAGUGAAGAAGUAUUUCGGUACGUAAAGCUCUAUCAGCAGGGAAGAAACAAGGACGGUACCUGAGAAAGAAGCCCCGGCUAACUACGGGCCAGCAGCCGCGGUAAUACGUAGGGGGCAGGCGUUAUCCGGACUGACUGGGUGUAAAGGGAGCGUUGACGGCAAAGAAAGUCCGGAGUGGAAUGCGGCGGCUCAACUGCCGAACGGCCCUGGAAACUGUAUGGCUUGAGUGCAGGAGGGGUAGGCGGAAUUCCUGGUGUAGCGGUGAAAUGCGUAGAUAUCAGGAGGAACACCGGUGGCGAAGGCGGCUUGCUGGACUGUAACUGACGUUGAGGCUCGAAAGCGUGGGGAGCGAACAGGAUUAGAUACCCCUGUAGUC
rnacentral:rRNA from 1 species